GUGUUCCAAAGAAAUCCGGAGU
rnacentral:miRNA from 1 species